CGUUGCAGGCGCGAUCACGCUGCUUCAGCACGCGGUCGAGGAAGCCAGGUCCGCGAUCGGACAGAUGUUGAACCGGUCCUGACCGGAUUUUCCGCACGGCUUUUAUCCCCCGGCAGUGCUGGCGUCCCGCCAACCGACCCGUUAUAGGACGUCUCCAACUGAAUUAUCCGGGCAGCACGUCUAAUAUGGUCAAGAUCAACUUCACCGAUCACUCUGGCACCA
rnacentral:misc_RNA from 1 species